AAACAGAAUGAUAACAAAUAAGGGCCCUGGAAGUUUAGGUCUCUGCUAGCUUAUGGAUUAUAAAGUUUUGCUUCAAUGUAAUUGAGUACUUGUGUUGUGGGUUCAUAAGAAGAACAUGGAAUUCGAGAUGUGCUCCCAAGGUAUUUUAGCUCAAAAUGGUCAGUGGCCAAAUUUCACUUGCAGGAAGGUCUACAGCAUAUUGUUGCCUUUGGCAAGCGGAAGAAUACCAUCAUGAUCAUUGGCAUGGAUGGAAGCAGAAAAUGAUGCAAAAAAUGAAGAGGCUGAUAUUGAGGAGCUAGCAGUUGCAAAUCAGGUGUCAAAGUAAUUGUCAAUGGAACAACAGUUGGAAUGAUAUCUAGGAAUGAUUUUAUAUCAGCUUUUGAUUCAAGUGUAG